AGGAGUGCGAAGCAGCUUAGGUGACCUCCAGAGGUCCUUCAUGGUUCUGGAAUCGUGAAAUGAGCAGAGUCUGCCACUGCCACUAGCCAGCAAACUGCAAGCAACCAGUCAGGCAUCCCUAAUUCUCAGCUUCUGGACUGAGAGUGAAACAACGGCCCCUUACUUAAGAUUUCAAUGUUGCAAGAGCUUCUGCAAAGGCACUGGCAUUGAUGUGUCUGGGUCCCGAUUUCCUGACAUGUCAGGAUCCCGUCAUCUGGAGAGGAACUGUUUAUGGUCUAGCCCUCUGUGGCUCUGCUGUGGCCCAUCAUAAGCAAGUUCACACACAGUAUGACAUCCACCUCAGCAUGCUGCACUUCCCAUUCCACGAGCUUUGUACUUGAGCCAGAAAUGUAGUAAAACACCCAGUAGGUA